rnacentral:rRNA from 1 species
GCUGGCGUCACUAGCGCUUUGGUCCCACCUGACCCCAUGCCGAACUCAGAAGUGAAACGCCGUAGCGCCGAUGGUAGUGUGGGGUCUCCCCAUGCGAGAGUAGGGAACUGCCAGGC